rnacentral:lncRNA from 1 species
AGGCGCCGCGCUGGCAGCACCGCGGUCAGGGCGAGGAAGCUGCCGGCGAGGUGAGGUGACUGUCGCGGAGGUGGCCAGGAGCCCUGAAAGACUUGUGCCUUGGACACAGCAAAAUCUGCAGGUUGCAGAAAGUCUCAACUGAUCCUGGCAUACCCCGAGAUGCCGACUUUUAGAGCUGAAGAUGCAAGAAAGAUCGGGACCCUGCGAUGCACCGACCACCUUCUCUCUGGCGGUUACAUUACAAGAUGAAGAAGGGGAAACGUUUUCCACCUCAUCCCUCAGGUCCUACUGCAACAUAACUUUCUUGAGGUAAGUACCUUUCCUUUGUGUUUCCUUAAUACUCUCUAUUUCCCCCAUCACAUACACUAAAAAGGUUAUCUUUGGUGCAUCUGUAUUU